rnacentral:rRNA from 1 species
AGAGUUUGAUCCUGGCUCAGGGUGAACGCUGGCGGCGCGCUUAAUGCAUGCAAGUCGAGCGAGAAGCCGGCUUCGGCCGGUAGAGAGCGGCAGACGGCUGAGUAACGCGUGAGUAACUUGCCCUCCGGUGGGGUAUACACUCGGGAAACUGAGGAUAAUCCCGCAUACGACCCGGUCCCCUUGGGGAUCAGGUGAAAGGCUUCGGUCGCCGGAGGAGAGGCUCGCGUCCUAUCAGGUAGUUGGUGGGGUAAAAGCCUACCAAGCCGAUGACGGGUAGCUGGUCUGAGAGGAUGACCAGCCAGAGGGGGACUGAGACACGGCCCCCACUCCUACGGGAGGCAGCAUGCAGUGGAAUCUUGGGCAAGUGGCGCGAAAGCCUGACCCAGCGACGUCGCUGUGGAGGACGAACGCCUUCGGGUUGUAAACUCCUUUUCCGAGGGAAGAUUUCGGACGGUACCUCGGUGAAUAAGCCCCGGCUAACUACGUGCCACGCAGCCGCGGUAAUACGUAGGGGGCAAGCGUUACCCGGAAUUACUGGGCGUAAAGUGCGCGUAGCAGUUGGAUAAGUCUCUUGUGAAAGCUCCCGGCUCAACUGGGAGAGGUCAUAGGGAUACUAUUCGACUAGAGGACAGCGAGUGUCAGCGGGAUUCCCGGUGUGGCGGUGGAAUGCGUAAUUCGGGAGGAACACCGCCGGCGAAGCGGCUUUCUGGGCUGUGCUGACGCUGAUGGCGCCAGAGCGUGGGGAGCCACUGGAUUAGAUACCCAGGUAGUCCACGCCCUAAACGAUGGAUACUAGGUNUGGGGGGUAUUGACCCCCUCCGUGCCGUACUGACGCGUUANAGUAUCCCGCCUGGGGACUACGGCGCAGGCUAAAACUC